rnacentral:rRNA from 1 species
GAUGAACGCUAGCGGCAGGCCUAACACAUGCAAGUCGAGGGGCAGCACAGGUAGCAAUACUGGGUGGCGACCGGCGGAUGGGUGCGUAACGCGUAUGCAACCUACCAUUGAUUGGGGCAUAGCCCGAAGAAAUUCGGAUUAAUACUCCAUAAUAUUCAUCAAAGGCAUCUUUUAUGAAUUAAAGCUUUUGCGAUCAAUGAUGGGCAUGCGUGACAUUAGUUAGUUGGUGAGGUAACGGCUCACCAAAACGAUGAUGUCUAGGGGUUCUGAGAGGAUUAUCCCCCAACUGGUACUGAGACACGGACCAGACUCCUACGGGAGGCAGCAGUGAGGAAUAUUGGUCAAUGGACGCAAGUCUGAACCAGCCAUGCCGCGUGCAGGAUGACGGCCCUAUGGGUUGUAAACUGCUUUUCCAGGGAGAGAAACUUGCGUACGCGUUGCGCAAUUGACGGUACCCUGGGAAUAAGCAUCGGCUUAACCG